rnacentral:rRNA from 1 species
CAGUAGCCACGGUAAUACGAAGGGGGCUAGCGUUGUUCGGAAUUACUGGGCGUAAAGCGCACGUAGGCGGAUUUUUAAGUCAGGGGUGAAAUCCCGAGGCUCAACCUCGGAACUGCCUUUGAUACUGGAGAUCUUGAGUUCGGAAGAGGUUGGUGGAACAGCUAGUGUAGAGGUGAAAUUCGUAGAUAUCAGGAGGAACACCUGUGGCGAAAGCGGCUCACUGGACCAUAACUGACGCUGAGGCACGAAAGCUAGGGGAGCAAACAGGAUUAGAUACCCCCGUAGUCCCUGUCUCUUAUAC